UGACCCGUUGUGUAAUGGUAGCACGACAGCCUCUGGAGCUGUUUGUCUAGGUUCGACUCCUAGCGGGUCAG
rnacentral:tRNA from 1 species